GACAGUGUCGUGACAAUAAGAACGCUUUCCCGUCUAAAUUUCAAGGGAGACAACAACCAGCUACUCCAAACGAAACGGGAAAGCUCCCGGUCGGAUUUACACUUCAGAUUUCCAUUGAAUGGACAUUAGGAAGGAACUGAGGAGAUACUGGAUUACCUGGCUGCAAAGAAGAAGGUGUUGAUGGCCAGCGAGCAUGCAUGAAACCCCCGGGGUGAACAUCCGGCAGAAGCACAUCCCACCGCGGAGAAAGAUUGUGGAGCUGGAGCAGCAAUGUUCGAUGUGCAAAAUGAAGAUGACGAACCGAGAGCCGGUUCCGAUCCAAGAAUGUUACGGGUGUGGAGCGAAAGAUGAAAGAGGGAUAGUGCCGCCUCAUACAAGACGAUUGAAGAGAAAUUGUAUGUGCAUUUUUUAAUAAAUGUUUUAAGCAAA